AGGGGGCAAGCGUUAUCCGGAUUUACUGGGUGUAAAGGGAGCGUAGGUGGCGUGCCAAGUCAGGAGUGAAAACCCAGGGCCCAACCCUGGGACUGCUCUUGAAACUGACAGGCUUGAGUGCUGGAGAGGUAAGCGGAAUUCCUAGUGUAGCGGUGAAAUGCGUAGAUAUUAGGAGGAACACCAGUGGCGAAGGCGGCUUACUGGACAGUGACUGACACUGAGGCUCGAAAGCGUGGGGAGCAA
rnacentral:rRNA from 1 species